UACAGAGGGGGCAAGCGUUGUUCGGAAUUACUGGGCGUAAAGGGCGCGUAGGCGGCCUGUUAAGUCGAACGUGAAAUCCCCGGGCUCAACCCGGGAACUGCGUCCGAUACUGGCAGGCUUGAAUCCGGGAGAGGGAUGCGGAAUUCCAGGUGUAGCGGUGAAAUGCGUAGAUAUCUGGAGGAACACCGGUGGCGAAGGCGGCAUCCUGGACCGGCAUUGACGCUGAGGCGCGAAAGCCAGGGGGAG
rnacentral:rRNA from 1 species